rnacentral:rRNA from 1 species
UACGUAGGGUGCGAGCGUUAAUCGGAAUUACUGGGCGUAAAGCGUGCGCAGGCGGUUCGUUAAGUCAGAUGUGAAAGCCCCGGGCUCAACCUGGGAACGGCGCGCGAAACGGGGGGGCUGGAGUUCGGAAGAGGAGCGUGGAAUUCCCAGUGUAGAGGUGAAAUUCGUAGAUAUUGGGAAGAACACCGGUGGCGAAGGCGGGAUCCUGGGCCAGUACUGACGCUGAGGAGCGAAAGCGUGGGGAGCAAACAGG